rnacentral:rRNA from 1 species
GAUGAACGCUGGCGGCGUGCUUAACACAUGCAAGUCGAACGAGAAAUGUAUACGGAAACCUUCGGGCGGAAGCCUUCAUUUAGAGUGGCGUACGGGUGAGUAACGCGUGGGUAACCUGCCUCAUACAGGGGGAUAACAGUUGGAAACGACUGUUAAUACCGCAUAAGACCACAGCAUCGCAUGAUGCGGGGGUAAAAACUCAGGUUGUAUGAGAUGGACCCGCGUUCGAUUAGCCAGUUGGCGGGGUAACGGCCCACCAAAGCGACGAUCGAUAGCCGAUCUGAGAGGCUGACCGGCCACAUUGGGACUGAGACACGGCAGAAACUCCUACGGGAGGCAGCAGUGGGGAAUAUUGCACAAUGGGGGAAACGCUGAUGCAGCGACGCCGCGUGAGUGAAGAAGUACGUGGGUAAGUAAAGCUCUAUCAGCAGGGAAGAAAAUGACGGUACCUGAGUAAGAAGCCCCGGCUAACUACGUG